rnacentral:rRNA from 1 species
UNUGAACUGGGUGACUAGAGUGUGUCAGAGGGAGGUAGAAUUNCACGUGUAGCAGUGAAAUGCGUAGAGAUGUGGAGGAAUACCGAUGGCGAAGGCAGCCUCCUGGGAUAACACUGACGUUCAUGCCCGAAAGCGUGGGUAGCAAACAGGAUUAGAUACCCUGGUAGUCCACGCCCUAAACGAUGUCGAUUAGCUGUUGGGCAGCAUGACUGCUUAGUAGCGAGGCUAACGCGUGAAAUCGACCGCCUGGGGAGUACGGUCGCAAGAUUAAAACUCAAAGGAAUUGACGGGGACCCGCACAAGCGGUGGAUGAUGUGGAUUAAUUCGAUGCAACGCGAAGAACCUUACCUGGUCUUGACAUGUACGGAACCCUCCAGAGACGGAGGGGUGCCUUCGGGAGCCGUAACACAGGUGCUGCAUGGCUGUCGUCAGCUCGUGCCGUGAGAUGUUGGGUUAAGUCCCGCAACGAGCGCAACCCUUGUCAUUAGUUGCCAUCAUUAAGUUGGGCACUCUAAUGAGACUGCCGGUGACAAGCCGGAGGAAGGUGGGGAUGACGUCAAGUCCUCAUGGCCCUUAUGACCAGGGCUUCACACGUCAUACAAUGGUCGGUGCAGAGGGUAGCCGAGCCGCGAGGUGGAGCCAAUCUCACAAAACCGAUCGUAGUCCGGAUUGCACUCUGCAACUCAAGUGCAUGAAGUCGGAAUCGCUAGUAAUCGCAGGUCAGCAUACUGCGGUGAAUACGUUCCCGGGUCUUGUACACACCGCCCGUCACACCAUGGGAGUGGGGGAUACCAGAANU